UGGGGAAUAUUGCACAAUGGGCGAAAGCCUGAUGCAGCAACGCCGCGUGAAGGAAGAAGGUCUUCGGAUCGUAAACUUCUGUCCUUGGGGAAGAAGAACUGACGGUACCCAAGGAGGAAGCCCCGGCUAACUACGUGCCAGCAGCCGCGGUAAUACGUAGGGGCAAGCGUUAUCCGGAAUUAUUGGGCGUAAAGAGUACGUAGGUGGCAACUUAAGCGCAGGGUUUAAGGCAAUGGCUCAACCAUUGUUCGCCCUGCGAACUGGGAUGCUUGAGUGCAGGAGAGGAAAGCGGAAUUCCUAGUGUAGCGGUGAAAUGCGUAGAUAUUAGGAGGAACACCAGUGGCGAAGGCGGCUUUCUGGACUGUAACUGACACUGAGGUACGAAAGCGUGGGGAGCAAACAGGAUUAGAUACC
rnacentral:rRNA from 1 species